UACGUAGGGGGCAAGCGUUGUCCGGAUUUAUUGGGCGUAAAGAGCUCGUAGGCGGCUGGUCACGUCGGGUGUGAAAGCUCAGGGCUCAACCCUGAGAGGCCAUUCGAUACGGAUCAGCUAGAGGUAGGUAGGGGAAAGUGGAAUUCCUGGUGUAGCGGUGAAAUGCGCAGAUAUCAGGAGGAACACCGGUGGCGAAGGCGGCUUUCUGGGCCUUACCUGACGCUGAGGAGCGAAAGCUGGGGGAGCGAACAGG
rnacentral:rRNA from 1 species